rnacentral:tRNA from 1 species
GGACAGGAACAGCAAAUGGUUCGCGGCUUGAUUGUGGCUCAAGCGUACAGGGUUCGAUUCCCUGCCUGCCCUCCA